UACGGAGGGAGCUAGCGUUGUUCGGAAUUACUGGGCGUAAAGCGCACGUAGGCGGCUUUGUAAGUUAGAGGUGAAAGCCCGGAGCUCAACUUCGGAAUUGCCUUUAAGACUGCAUCGCUUGAAUCAUGGAGAGGUCAGUGGAAUUCCGAGUGUAGAGGUGAAAUUCGUAGAUAUUCGGAAGAACACCAGUGGCGAAGGCGACUGACUGGACAUGUAUUGACGCUGAGGUGCGAAAGCAUGGGGAGCGAAUGGG
rnacentral:rRNA from 1 species